rnacentral:rRNA from 1 species
AACGGGGGGGGCAGGUGUUACUCUUAUGGACUGGGCGUAAAGGGCAAGUAGGCGGCUUAUCAAGUAAAAGGCAAAAGGCCCGGGCACAACCCGGGUAGACGUUUUUAUAUACUGAUAGGCUCUGAGUUAUCUAAAGAAUAGCCGAAUUUCCAGUGUAGGGGUUGAAUCCGGCGAUAUUGGAAAGACGAACAAAUGCGAAGGCAGCUAUUACGUAAUAACUGACGCUGAGAGGCUAAAGCGUGGGGAGCGAACAGG